CCCUUAGAUGUUCUGGGCCGCACGCGUGCUACACUGAGUGGAUCAGCGGGUCAGGUUGCGCGAAAGUGUUUCCUAAUCUUGAAAUCCGCUCGUGAUGGGGAUUGACGGUUGCAAUUUUCCGUCAUGAACGAGGAAUACCUUGUAAGCGCGGGUCAUCAUCCCGCGCUGAAUACGUCCCUGCCCUUUGUACACACCGCCCGUCGCUCCCACCGAUUGAGUGGUCCGGUGAGGCUUUGGGAUCUGAGCGGAAAGAGCGUUUCGCUGUUUCUGCUCGGAAAACUCAGUCGAACCUUAUCAUUUAGAGGAAGGAGAAGUCGUAACA
rnacentral:rRNA from 1 species